AUAGAUUCCAGCAUCAUGAUUACCUCCCAGAUACUUUUUUUUUUUUUUUUUAAUUUGGGUGGCUUUUCUUCAUGGGCCAAUUGUUUAAGAACUAUGAGGUGCGUCAGUAUGUUGCAUGGGUGACCUUCUCUGUGAUGUUUGCAUUUUCUUGCACUAUGUUUGAGCUCAGCAUGUUUGAAAUCUUAGGAGUAUUGAGUAGCAGCUCUCGUUAUUUUCACUGGAAAAUGAACCUGUGUGUAAUUCUACUGAUCCUGGUUUUCAUGGUGCGUUUUUACACUGGCUAUUUUGUUGUGGGCAACAUCCGACUACUUUUAUCUCCUCUGUCUUAGUGCAUAAACAACAACUGCUUUUUUCCUGUCUCUUGUGGUUGACCUUUAGCUAUUUCUUCUGGAAACUAGGAGAUUCCUUUCCCAUUCUCAGCCCAAAACAUGGGAUCUUAUCCAUAGAACAGUUCAUCAGCUGGGUUGGUGUGAUUGGAGUUACUCUCACGGCUCUCCUUGCUGGAUUUGGUGCUGUCUACUGCCCAUACACUUUCAUGUCUUACUUCCUCAGGAAUGUGACUGACACAGAUAUUCUAGCCCUAGAAUAGUGACUGCUCCAAACCAUGGAUAUGAUCAUAACCAAAAAGAAAAGGAUGGCAAUGGCACAGAGAACAAUGUUCCAGAAGGGGGAGGUACAUAACAAAUCAUCAGGGUUCUGAGGAAUGAUAAAAAGUAUUACCACUUAUUCAAUAGGAAGUGGAUGCUUUGGAAGAACUAAGUAGGCAGCUUUUUCUGGAAACAGCUGAUCUGUAUGCUACCAAGGAGAGAACAGAAUACUCCAAAACCUUCAAAGGGAAAUAUUUUAAUUUUCUGGGUUACUUUUUCUCUGUUUACUGUGUUUGGAAAUUUUUCAUGGCAACAAUCAAUAUUGUUUUUGAUCGAGUUGGGAAAAUGGAUCCUGUCACAAGAGUCAUUGAGAUCACUGUGAAUUAUCUGGGAAUCCAAUGUGAUGUGAAGUUUUGGUCCCAACACAUUUCCUCCAUUGUUGUUGGAAUAAUCAUCGCCACAUCCAUCAGAGGACUGCUGAUCACUCAUACCAAGUUAUUUUAUGCCAUCUCUAGCAGUAAGUCCUCCAGUGUCAAUGUCCUGCUAUUAGCACAGAUAAUGGGCAUGUACUUUGUCUCCUCUGCGCUGCUGAUCCGAAUGAAUAUGCCUCUAGAAUACUGCACCAUAACUACUGAAGUCCUUGGAGAACUGCAGUUCAAUUUGUCCCCAUUGGUUUGAUGUGAUCUUCCUGGUCAGCACUCUCUCUAGCACAGUGUUUCUCUAUUUGGCUCACAAACAGGCACCAGAGAAGCAUAUGACACCUUGAACUUAGGCCUACUACAGACUGUUAGAGGCCAGUGGUCUCAAAAUUUGGAUAUGAGAGAGGAAAAAAUGGAGGGGACAAGGGUCUAACAUUUUAUAAACAAACAAAAUGCUGUGGUAGCAUUUUUUACCUCUAGCAUCCUCUUUCCUACUCAGGUGAUACUGUGAUCAUGAGUAGCAUCAGCUAGAACAUGAGAGGGAGAAGUAACUCAAGGCAAUACUCAGCAGAGAGCAUCCUAUGUGGACCUGAGGCUGGUGCAAUGGCAGAGAGGAACCAAAAAACUAGAAGGAAAAAAUACACUGGAAC